rnacentral:rRNA from 1 species
CAAUAGCGUAUAUUAAAGUUGUUGCAGUUAAAAAGCUCGUAGUUGGAUUUCUGGUAGGAGUGACCGUUCCGAACUUGAUUGUUCGUGUAUUGUGUUUUCUCCAGCCAUCCUUGUGGAGAACUUUUCUUGCAUUAAUUUGUAGGGAUUGGGACCCGCAUCGUUUACUGUGAAAAAAUUAGAGUGUUUAAAGCAGGCAAUCGCUUGAAUACAUUAGCAUGGAAUAAUAAGAUAGGACUUUGGUACUAUUUUGUUGGUUUGCAUACCAAAUUAAUGAUCAACGGGAACAGUUUGAGGAUAUUCGUAUGAACAUGUCAGAGGUGAAAUUCUUGGAUUUUGAUCAGACGAACUACUGCGAAAGCAUUUAUCAAGGAUGUUUUCAUUAA